rnacentral:rRNA from 1 species
CCUACGGGUGGCAGCAGUGAGGAAUAUUGGUCAAUGGGCGAGAGCCUGAUCCAGCCACGUCGCGUGAAGGAUGAAUGCCCUACGGGUUGUAACCUUCUUUUAUAAAGGAAUAAAGUGAGGCACGUGUGCAUUUUUGUCUGUACUUCAUGAAUCAGGAUCGGCUAACUACGUGCCAGCAGCCGCGGUAAUACGGAGGAUCCGAGCGUUAUCCGGAUUUAUUGGGGUUAAAGGGAGCGUAGAUGGGUUUGUAAGUCAGUUGUGAAAGUUUGCGGCUCAACCGUAAGAUUGCAAUUGAUACUGGCAGUCUUGAGUACAGUUGAGGUAGGCGGAAUUCGUGGUGUAGCGGUGAAAUGCUUAGAUAUCACGAAGAACUCCGAUUGCGAAGGCAGCUUACUAAACUAUAACUGACACUGAAGCACGAAAGCGUGGGGAUCAAACAGGAUUAGAUACCCCUGUAGUC